rnacentral:rRNA from 1 species
UACGUAGGUGGCAAGCGUUGUCCGGAUUUAUUGGGUUUAAAGGGUGCGUAGGCGGCCCUGUAAGUCAGUGCUGAAAUAUCCCAGCUUAACUGGGAGGGUGGCAUUGAUACUGCGGGGCUAGAGUACAGAUGAGGUAGGCGGAAUUGACGGUGUAGCGGUGAAAUGCUUAGAUAUCGUCAAGAACACCUGUAGCGAAGGCAGCUUACUAGGCUGUAACUGACGCUGAGGCACGAAAGUGUGGGGAUCAAACAGG